CCAAUUCUAUGAUUUUUAAGGGUUUUUAUGACUGGGUUUUUUUAUACUCUAUCUUUUGGGUGAGAGCACCAUUUUGAACUAGAAAGACUUAAGUACUUUAGCAAGCUUUAGCUGAUCUAAUCUCGACGAAAAUUGCAUUUAGCACCACAUUUAGUGGCAGAUAGCAUUUCUGCACUUAACAGCAUAUGCUGGAUAUCAAGAGGUUCUGUGCAUUAAAAUUUUGUCACCGUGUGCCCUUGUCAGAAGACUACACUUCUUGGCCACACAACAUCUUGACGGCCAACAAAUACACCGUUAUCAAACUUCCGAAACUCUUACCUUAGUAUAUGGUUACGAAGUACCCUUCCAGCCCUAGCUAUCCAGUACCCCGGCAGUCGUACCUACCAGACAGGUCCAGACAUCCACCAGGCAGUUCAGUUGUUACAUCGUGGGCACAUCACACAUAGUUACUUGUCCGAGUAACUAUACAGGCAAUUUAGAUAUAGUAUUAUUCCCCAUUGCUUUGCUGUAGUCUUGUUGCCGUGCACUGCCCUCAUAGCUAGUUUCACUGCAUGGCUUACUACCAAUGUUUUAGUUUAGGUAAUAGCAUUAUAGCAUUAACGCAUGAUCGCUCUGAGGCACUACCCUAUGCUUGUGGCUAGUUUCCAGAAUAAGUAAAAUAAUUUACCCAGCUACCCUGCUGUCGUGGCUAGACCUAAAA